UGAUUGUGAUCUUCGCAUUCCAGUUUGAUGUUGUCUAUAUAUAUUGGUAAUUCUUGAUAAUCUUCUAUUGGUAUUGUCUUGUGGUUUUUGGUCACUUUCUGUAUGCGAUGUCUAUGUUGGCAUUCCUCACAUAUUGCCUCUUCACAUUCGGAACACCAAACAAUGGCAGAUUUUGUAACGUGCAGGUUCAGGAAAACGUCACAUGAUGGAUCUAACGUCGCCAUUGUAGUACUAAAAUUUGUA
rnacentral:lncRNA from 1 species